rnacentral:tRNA from 1 species
GGAGCGGUGUCCGAGUGGUUGAAGGAGCACGAUUGGAAAUCGUGUAUAGGUCAUGCCUAUCGAGGGUUCGAAUCCCUCUCGCUCCGCCA